AGAAACUGAGCAGAUCUCACCCUCUGGUGUACACUCACGAAUGCUGAGAUCCCAGGCAAGGAUGACCUUCUCUAAAAGGGACACAUGAAUACCAAGAUAUGGGAGGCUUGAGCAAAUACUAUGAAUCUCUCAAGGAGCUAUGGAUUACCUUAAAAGGCUAGACAACAGAGCCACGGCACAGGAAGUCUGCCCUGGAUGCUAUCCUGCUGGGAAUUGGCCCUCUGAAACAGAUCCAUCCACCCGAUGAGUCAUGACAUUAAAAAUGAUGAAGGAAAUGGACUGGUCCCCAGACAAACAGCUCGGGGCAAUACGAUUCCUGCAUCCAAAGGACUAUGGGUUACAGACACCUCUCUCUUCUGGGAUACAACGUGUAAAAGCCGGAUUGAGAUCUCUAUGCCUGUUCUUCAACUGCUGUGGCUACCACUAUUCCAAGAGACAGAAUAAGAAAGUUAAAGACAACAAGAAAUGGGUCUGUAAGGCCCGAAGUGAGUGGUGUGGCAAACGACUGGACUCACUCACAUGAAUAUAAGGGUGAGAGGGGAAAAGCCUUGUGACUAAGUCCUGUGAUUUGGGGAUUGGGUCCAAAGCAUAGCCCAGCCCUUAUUUACUAACAUCAGAGUGAAGACAAGAACUAACUUUGCCUACAUUUUGCAGCUAAUCCAUUCAGGAACAGACUAAGUCUCGUCCUGACCUACUUGUCGUUUUUCUGUAAAGACCACUCGAGGUUUUAUCAACUUGAUCAACAGGUAUGUUCAUAGUAAACCCGAGUAACCAUUUUUGUACAGUGAAUAAAGUAUUUUUAAUAAUCCAGA
rnacentral:lncRNA from 1 species